GACGAGAACGGCCGGUCUGGCUUCUGGCCAGCACUGGACGGAUCGAGUCUUUUUUCUGGGGAAGCGGGGUGCUCUUUACUGGGUGCGCCGGGGAACCAGGACGAUUACCUUGAGAAAAACAGAGUGUUCAAAGCAGGCGUUUGCUUGGAUACAUUAGCAUGGAAUAAUGAAAUAGGACGCUGGUUCUAUUUUGUUGGUUUUGAGGACCAAUGUCAUGAUUAAUAGGGAUAGUUGGG
rnacentral:rRNA from 1 species